UUACACCUGAAAGAUAUCUGCUCAACCCAGAUCGUCUUGAUGCCAAACUCUAGCCCAAUCUACAUUGACCUGGAAUAACAAAGUCACUCCCCACUCUAAACCAAAGCAUUUGCUAGUCCUAGUAUAGGCGAUAGAAAAGACACCACAUGGCGCGAUAGAGAGCACGUACCGUAAGGGAAAGAUGAAAUAGUAGUGAAAUAAUCUAAGCUAAAAACAGCAAAGAUCAACCCUUGUACCUUUUGCAUAAUGGUCUAGCAAGAAAAACCAAGCAAAAUGAAUUUAAGUUUGCCACCCCGAAACCCAAGCGAGCUACUUGCGAGCAGCUAAUAUUGAGCGAACCCGUCUCUGUUGCAAAAGAGUGGGACGACUUGCUAGUAGAGGUGAAAAGCCAAUCGAGCUGGGUGAUAGCUGGUUGCCUGUGAAACGAAUCUUAGUUCACUCUUAAUUCUUCUCCAAGGAAACCCACGAACCCUAAUGAAGCGAAUUAAGGGCUAUUUAAAGGAGGUACAGCUCCUUUAAAAAAGAAUACAAUCUCCACGAGCGGAUAAGUACCCCCCC
rnacentral:rRNA from 1 species